rnacentral:lncRNA from 13 species
AAUCAAUUGUACCUUUAGCUCAUCAAAUUUUUUCUAUCAUUUAUUUGACUGUACUUCCCAUGCAUGAGAGAGAAUAUUACUUCCCUCAAGAGUUGUAGAUACUUUGAUCUAUUCUGAAUUGGCAUUUGAGGAAGUAUUGUCCCAUAGUUUCCAUUCCUUUGUUAUUUAGCUCUGGGAUGUUUUUCUCAACUUUAUCUUCCAAAUCACCCAACUUCAUUUUUUAGCCGUUUUCAUUCAUUAUUGAAUUAUUUAAUUCAUUUCUUUAUCUUUUAGAAAUCUUAUUUAAUUUCUAAAAAAUCUCUUACUUCCAGAUUACUUCUUUUUUGGAGUGGUCUAAUUGUGUUUUAGGGAUAUAAUAUCUUCUUGAAUAUAUACUAGGAGACCAAUCAGAUUUUUAGGUUUUCUUCUGUUCUUUACACUAGCUCCAUUUCCCUAGGUCAUUUAUUCUAUUUGUUUAUUUUUGAUAACCUUAGUUUAUGCUAUUGGUUAGGUAACUGUCAACAUGGAUAAAUGAGGAUUAUGCAAUUAGCGUAAGUUAAUGGUAAGAUUUUUGUGGUCAUUACUUGAUUUAGCAAAGGUCCCUUCCUCUUUCUGGUAAGGCUACUAGGGGGCUGGGCUUCUGACAAUCCAGCUUCCCUGUGGAAUGUGUAGGAAGGAAAUAGGCACAUGGCAUCAGUUCUCCCAACAUUGCUAUUGAAAGGGAGAGUUUACUCUGAGGUCAAAAUAAAGUAAUUUUUUUCUUUCAUUCCUGUGGCAGACUGGAGCUGUCUUUUCUUAACAGCCCACGAAGCGACUCACACUUUGGACUGCUGUGUGGGUCUAGAGUUAUCUCCAGCGCUGGUUUCUUUUCUCUAUUCCCAGUUCUCCAGUAGGGACUCGUCUGGAGGCUGAGGUGGAAGAAUCGCUGGAACCCAGCAGGUGGAGUUGCAGUGAGCCGAGAUUGCACCACUGCAUUCCAGCCAGCAGAUGGAGGUCGAAAUUGAAUUGCUGCUGACUGUUGUCCCUUGUUAUGGCCUGUGGAGAUAUGACAAUUGAGGAAGAACUUAGAGGAAUGCCAAGUAACAGAGCAUAAAGCUGUGGGUGUGG